CCUACGGGAGGCAGCAGUGAGGAAUAUUGGUCAAUGGGCGAGAGUCUGAACCAGCCAAGUAGCGUGAAGGAUGACUGCCCUAUGGGUUGUAAACUUCUUUUAUAUGGGAAUAAAACGUUCCACGUGUGGGAUUUUGUAUGUACCAUAUGAAUAAGGAUCGGCUAACUCCGUGCCAGCAGCCGCGGUAAUACGGAGGAUCCGAGCGUUAUCCGGAUUUAUUGGGUUUAAAGGGAGCGUAGGUGGAUUGUUAAGUCAGUUGUGAAAGUUUGCGGCUCAACCGUAAAAUUGCAGUUGAAACUGGCAGUCUUGAGUACAGUAGAGGUAGGCGGAAUUCGUGGUGUAGCGGUGAAAUGCUUAGAUAUCACGAAGAACUCCGAUUGCGAAGGCAGUUCACUGGACUGCAACUGACACUGAGGCUCGAAAGUGUGGGUAUCAAACAGGAUUAGAGACCCUGGUAGUC
rnacentral:rRNA from 1 species